rnacentral:rRNA from 1 species
UACGUAGGGGGCGAGCGUUGUCCGGAUUUACUGGGCGUAAAGAGCGCGCAGGCGGUCGACCAAGUCGAGUGUGAAAGCCCCCGGCUCAACUGGGGAGGGUCAUUCGAUACUGAUCGACUCGAAGGCAGGAGAGGGUAGUGGAAUUCCCGGUGUAGUGGUGAAAUGCGUAGAUAUCGGGAGGAACACCAGUGGCGAAGGCGACUUCCUGGCCUGUUCUUGACGCUGAGGCGCGAAAGCUAGGGGAGCAAACGGG